CAGCUUGAACCUGCGUUCCAAAAGGCAUUCCCUUCCUCCUUCAGUUCCUUGGACGUGGUGUCAUUCAGAAGUGGAUCAGUCAUCAAUGACAUGAACCUUCUCUUUGCAAGCACAUCUGUUCCCAGUAAAACUCAGAUUGGGAGGGUUUUGAUCAGUCAACGUUUAAACGUCACUGGCUUCGACAUUGAAGGCAGCUCAAUCACCGUGAAUGGCGCCCAAUUUACAGAAUCAAGUGGAGUGAGCCACAACAUCAGUCUCAUUACUGCAUCCUGCCUGGUACUGUUGUCAUGGAUACUAUCAAGCCAGCAAUAGCAUCAGUGCUGAUUACCAUUUGAAUUGCCAGCAGACUAUGACUGCCAUUACUGGUAUGAACAAGGACUUUGUUGUCGGUAAAAAUCCAAGAUUCAUGAUUGUCUUUGCUCUUGUAUGUAGAAUGACACAGCCAACUUUAAGCACCUGGCCCAUUGAAUCAUCACUACAAUAACAACCUAAACAAAAUAACAAUACUGUCUGUUAAGCCCUGGGAUGUCAGAAAUGGUUGCACUCUUUGACUUUUUAUAUAAAAUGUAAUGUAUAAAUGCAUCUUGCUUCUCUGAGCACUGUGCUAUAGCAAUAUUUAACU